UGCCGUCUACUCUUGGACAGCCUUCUGAAAGGAAGAUUAAUACCCGAUGGCAUAGUUCUUCCGCAUGGUGGAACUAUUAAAGAAUUUCGGUCAUCGAUGGGGAUGCGUUCCAUUAGGUUGUUGGCGGGGUAACGGCCCACCAAGCCUUCGAUGGAUAGGGGUUCUGAGAGGAAGGUCCCCCACAUUGGAACUGAGACACGGUCCAAACUCCUACGGGAGGCAGCAUG
rnacentral:rRNA from 1 species